rnacentral:tRNA from 1 species
UUUAAAAAUUAGUUAAGCCAAAAU